rnacentral:rRNA from 1 species
UCUUGAAAUUUAAGAAUUUGGCGGUAAUUUAGUCUCUUCAGAGGAACCUGUUUCUUAAUCGAUAAACCACGAAAAAUCUUACUUAUUAUUUAUUAAAUAUAAAAGCUUGUAUACCGUCAUUAGCAGAUAAUAUUUAGAGAUAUAUUAUUAAAUUUUAAAAAUUAAAAUAAAUUAGAUCAAGGUGCAGCCUAUGAAUAAGUUGGAAUGGGUUACAAUUAAGUUUAUAUAAAUAUGGAAUAAAAUUUGAAAUAAUUUUAGGAAGGAGGAUUUGAUUGUAAUAGGAAUUAAUAAGAUAAAAAGAUAUAAGCUCUAAAUUAUGUACAUAUCGCCCGUCGCAA